rnacentral:tRNA from 1 species
GCCCCUGUAGUGUAGUCCGGUCUAGCAUUCAAGACUGUCAAUCUAGUCGGGUUGACCGAUGGAACGGACCUCUUGAAUUUCUCUCAUUCAGAGAGAAAUGGGGACAGACCCGGGUUCAAGUCCCGGCGGGGGCG